CUACGGGCCGCAGCAGUGGGGAAUAUUGGACAAUGGGGGAAACCCUGAUCCAGCAAUGCCGCGUGUGUGAAGAAGGCCUGCGGGUUGUAAAGCACUUUCGGUUGGGAGGACUGCUUCUAGCACUAAUAUUGUUGGAAGUUGACGUUACCUUCAGAAGAAGCACUGGCUAACUCCGUGCCGGCAGCCGCGGUAAUACUGAGGGUGCAAGCGUUAAUCGGAAUUACUGGGCGUAAAGCGCGCGUAGGCGGCUAGAUCAGUCGGGUGUGAAAGCCCCGGGCUUAACCUGGGAACUGCAUCCGAUACUGUCUAGCUUGAGUACAGGAGAGGAGAGUGGAAUUCCACAUGUAGCGGUGAUAUGCGUAGAUAUGUGGAGGAACACCAAUGGCGAAGGCAGCUCUCUGGCCUGAUACUGACGCUGAGGUGCGAAAGCGUGGGGAGCAAACAGGAUUAGAUACCCGCGUAGUC
rnacentral:rRNA from 1 species